CAGAUACGGUCUCAAAGCUGGCAGAGACCGGGGACCAUUCCCAGCAGGAAAUUUAGAUGAAGUCACUCCAUGGCGGAGGCUGAGAUUAGAAGUGCUCUGCCUUUUCACCUGGGGAUAAAUCUGAUGCAGGGAUCUUCUGAUUGGCCCCUGGACGGUUGUGAAGAGCAAGCAUCCUUCACCAGCCUCCAGAAACCGCAUAAAGCCAAGCUCUGCUCCUUCAUCUUAACGUGUCUGGGUGGCUGACACUGAUCCACGGGACCGUUCCAACCUAGAGCCUCCUCUUACCUGUGACGGCACCUCCCAGCCCGCCUUCUGCCAUGAAAAUCCUUUGCUUGCUCUUGGCGCUCCUCUUUGUGGCAUUUCAUGGAGCUGCAGGUACGGUGUAAAUGAUAAAAGCAGAUACUGAUGUCUCAUAAAGGUCUCUGGUCCCCUUUGGGAAGCAGCCAAGCUGCCUCCUGCAAAGUAACUUCACUCAUAUCAUCAAACCUCGCUGGCAGAUUACAGCUGAUGCAUGAAAUUAGCAGGCAAGCGCUCUGACCAGCAGUUCAGUGCCUUUGCUACUCCUCCAAAAAUCCAGUCUGAGUUGAAAGCACGAUGGACAGCCCCCUAAUUCCCCUUCAGUGCCUGCAUUUCCCCCAUUAAAGCUUGCCAACUCUUGGAGCACUUUCAUUGUCUCUGGCUCACCCUACAACAAACCACCCCGAAUCAAAUAUUCUUAAGCCACAUAGAAAAAAAAAAAAAAAGACAUUGGGUCCCGUGUUUUCCAAAUAUGCUUGAGGACCUUGCACAUGGGUUGGGGAGGCAAAAGAUCACGAGUCAAGGUCAAAAUGCUGGUGGUACCCUCUGCUUGGUGGGGAAUCCUAUGCAACCACAAGUGUUUUAGGAAGGAUUAGGGCUUGUUGGGGGGACCCACAGGGUGCUGGAACCCCAAACUCACGUUAUUGUCCAGCAAAAGGAGCUGUUUUUAAACAGCAUCCUUGAAAAUGGCAAAAUUACAGUGCAGGGCACUAUGAGCACAAGUGUCAGUAGAGUUUUGGGGUUGAUCAAUGUGGGAAUAGGAUGGUAAAUGUUCUCCGGGGUUUAAGGAUGGGAAAAGACCAGGCAGGCCCAGGGAACAUGCUGUAUUAAUUGGUAGUCUGCUCCCUGGGGCAAUUUUUCACCCCUGACAACUAACACUGUCACUGAUAAAACCCAGACAUCCUUCUGGGAAUAGUACAAACCAUUCCCAAAAGCGGUCUGAAUGGGGAUAUCGUAUUUUAUGUGGGAAGAAAGUGUAGCCAUGUGGACAAGAGCAAUGCUGUGCUGCUUGGCCCAAGACCUAGAGGGCAACGCCCGGCAUAGAAGUGGUCAUUUUGCAUGUGCUGAUGGGUUUAUCUGUACACAGUGGCCAUCUGUAUGGACCUCUUGACACCAGGACCUGCUGGGAGACCUGGGUGAAACCUACCGCGAGGACAAUAGGCCAGAUCUGUGGAAAUCCAGGCACACAAAAAUAAAUCCUCGUCAUUCUGCCCCAAGAAGUGGCAGCUUCCCAGCUGAGCUGGUGCAGCUCUCCUGGAUUGCAACCAAGUCCUAAGCAAUGUUUUCUAUCCCGUCUCUGCUGUCUGUUCCUAAAAUCGGAGUUUCUAAGGGAGUCCUGGGCUUGGAGAUACAAUUCUUGUAUUUGAAGAAGGAAUUAGAGCAUGUGUUUGCUUGUACUGCCCAUAGCCCUCCUCUGGACAUUGCGUUAGCACUGUAAUGGCUCUGGGUACUUUUUUUUUUUUUUU